rnacentral:rRNA from 1 species
GGACCCGCACAAGCGGUGGAGCAUGUGGUUUAAUUCGACGCAACGCGAAGAACCUUACCAGGUCUUGACAUCCCUCUGCCGUCUGUAGAGAUACAGAUUUCCCUUUUGGGACGGAGGAGACAGGUGGUGCAUGGUUGUCGUCAGCUCGUGUCGUGAGAUGUUGGGUUAAGUCCCGCAACGAGCGCAACCCUCGUCGUUAGUUACCAGCAUUUUAGGAUGGGGACUCUAACGAGACUGCCAGCGAUAAGCUGGAGGAAGGUGGGGAUGACGUCAAAUCAUCAUGCCCCUUAUGACCUGGGCUACACACGUGCUACAAUGGGUGGUACAAAGGGAAGCGAAGCGGUGACGUGGAGCAAAUCCCAAAAAGCCACUCUCAGUUCGGAUUGUAGUCUGCAACUCGACUACAUGAAGUCGGAAUCGCUAGUAAUCGUGGAUCAGCAUGCCACGGUGAAUACGUUCCCGGGUCUU